rnacentral:lncRNA from 1 species
UGAUUUUCUAUUAUUCUUUAACUUAUGAUGUAUAUUUUUUUUCUUUUUUUCUUUUUUUUAAAUGCUGACGUGUAAUAGCUAAAUGGCACUUGGCCGGAACACGUCAUUUAUCGGUAGCCGGAAAAUUUUCGCAGGCCACAAAUAAGAAAAAAAAAUGAAACGAUGGGUAUUGUUUUGUAAAUAUGCUUAGGGUGGGAUAUAUUUGAGAAAACGCUCAAACGAUGGGCCAAAAAGU